rnacentral:rRNA from 1 species
GAUGAACGCUAGCUACAGGCUUAACACAUGCAAGUCGAGGGGUAACGAGAGGAAAGCUUGCUUUCCUUGUCGACGACCGGCGCACGGGUGAGUAACGCGUAUCCAACCUGCCCCCAACUAGGGAAUAACCUUGCGAAAGUAAGACUAAUACCCUAUAAUUUCCUCAGAUGUCAUCUGACGAGGAAUAAAGAUUUAUCGGUUGUGGAUGGGGAUGGGUCUGAUUAGCUGUUUGGCGGGGUAACGGCCCACCAAGGCAACGAUCAGUAGGGGUUCUGAGAGGAAGGUCCCCCACAUUGGAACUGAGAAACGGUCCAAACUCCUACGGGAGGCAGCAGUGAGGAAUAUUGGUCAAGGGGCGGAAGCCUGAACCAGCCAAGUAGCGUGCAGGAUGACGGCCCUAUGGGUUGUAAACUGCUUUUAUACAGGAAUAAAGUUAGCCACGUGUGGUUAUUUGUAGGUACUGUAUGAAUAAGGACCGGCUAAUUCCGUGCCAGCCGCCGCCGUAA